rnacentral:rRNA from 1 species
CACGUAGGGUGCGAGCGUUGUCCGGAAUUAUUGGGCGUAAAGAGCUCGUAGGCGGUGUGUCGCGUCGGCCGUGAAAACCUGCAGCUUAACUGUGGGCUUGCGGUCGAUACGGGCAUCACUGGAGUUCGGCAGGGGAGACUGGAAUUCCUGGUGUAGCGGUGAAAUGCGUAGAUAUCAGGAGGAAUACCGAUGGCGAAGGCAGCACUCUGGGACGGUACUGACGCUGAGACGCGAAAGCGUGGGGAGCGAACAGG